rnacentral:rRNA from 1 species
AUUGAACGCUGGCGGCAGGCCUAACACAUGCAAGUCGAGCGGUAGAGAGAAGCUUGCUUCUCUUGAGAGCGGCGGACGGGUGAGUAAUGCCUAGGAAUCUGCCUGGUAGUUGGGGAUAACGUUCGGAAACGGACGCUAACACCGCAUACGUCCUACGGGAGAAAGCAGGGGACCUUCGGGCCUUGCGCUAUCAGAUGAGCCUAGGUCGUAUUAGCUAGUUGGUGGGGUAAGGGCUCACCAAGGCGACGAUCCGUAACUGGUCUGAGAGGAUGAUCAGUCACACUGGAACUGAGACACGGUCCAGACUCCUACGGGAGGCAGCAGUGGGGAAUAUUGGACAAUGGGCGAAAGCCUGAUCCAGCCAUGCCGCGUGUGUGAAGAAGGUCUUCGGAUUGUAAAGCACUUUAAGUUGGGAGGAAGAGAAGUAAAUUAAUACUUUGCUGUUUUGACGUUACCGACAGAAUAAGCACCGGCUAACUCUGUG